UACAGAGGUCUCAAGCGUUGUUCGGAUUCAUUGGGCGUAAAGGGUGUGUAGGUGGCGCCGUAAGUCGGGUGUGAAAUUUCGGAGCUUAACUCCGAAACUGCAUUCGAUACUGCGGUGCUUGAGGACUGGAGAGGAGACUGGAAUUCACGGUGUAGCAGUGAAAUGCGUAGAGAUCAUGAGGAAGACCAGUGGCGAAGGCGGGUCUCUGGACAGUACCUGACACUGAGACACGAAGGCCAGGGGAGCAAACGGG
rnacentral:rRNA from 1 species